AUGAAUGUCGAAACGAGGUUUUCCCAUGUUGAUCUUGGCGUAUAUUCCGGAUAUCCAAAAUUCUCCCCGAUCCACUAGAAUUCAUCCGGACGUUCCGAGGCCAUGACCCAGAACUGUGUCGUUCCUUGAGAGUGACUGAUGUAAAAGAUUUUCGGAAGCAACGUCUGAGCGAGGAUGUAAUCCACCGUUGCCGGGAGGUCAAAAACCCCAAGUUCGUGCCAGCUGUAAAAAAAAAAAAAAUGGAUUUCGAAAAUGCACGUCAGCUUUUGACAAUGCGACAAGUAACCAACCUGAAAUUCCAGAACAACUUGUUCUCCGGUGAAAGGACGACGACCAAACUAUGGCGGUCAACUUACCCUCAGUUCUUCAUCGGAAGCAGAAGACGAAAGUAUUUCAAGCCGAUUCAGUCAAACAACUCACCCAAGGACCUUUUGGGACCCAUUAUGACCCAGUCCGCUGAACUGCCCGCCAGUCCGUGUUGCAAGAGAACAGGACCUCUCCACGCUUCCUUAUAUUCGCCUUUCGAAAGGACGCCAGGGAUCCUGUGCAUAGCCAGGAUGUAUCCAUCCUCGGUAACGAUCAACGUCGGCAUUUUUCUUGGCCCUAAUACUGGUAGGUUCGACCAGAGAAGGUGCGAGGAUAACCACGACUACUGUAAUUACGAAUAAAAACUCACGUGCCCCGACCAUCUUGAGUGGUAGGAUAGCUGUCAUACUCUAGAAACACAUCUUUCUCAACAACUUCACACGCGUAUACCGUGACUCCGGAUGAUACGAUGUCUACUGGCGGGAUUGUGAUGGGAGUACCUCAGGUCUUCGCCAGGUAUCCCAAUACCC
rnacentral:lncRNA from 1 species